UACGUAGGGGGCGAGCGUUGUCCAGAAUUAUUGGGCGUAAAGAGCGUGUAGGCGGCCCGGUAAGUCCGCUGUGAAAGUCGGGGGGCUCAACCCUCGAAUGCCGGUGGAUACUGUCGGGCUAGAGUGCGGAAGAGGCGAGUGGAAUUCCUGGUGUAGCGGUGAAAUGCGCAGAUAUCAGGAGGAACACCGGUGGCGAAGGCGCUGCUCUGGGCCGAGUACUGACGCUGAGGAGCGAAAGCGUGGGUAGCAAACAGG
rnacentral:rRNA from 1 species